UAUCGCUGAGAGAUGAGCUCGCGUCUGAUUAGAUAGUUGGUGUGGUAACGGCAUACCAAGUCGACGAUCAGUAGCCGGACUGAGAGGUUGAACGGCCACAUUGGGACUGAGAUACGGCCCAGACUCCUACGGGAGGCAGCAGUCGGGAAUAUUGCGCAAUGGAGGAAACUCUGACGCAGUGACGCCGCGUGCAGGAAGAAGGUUUUCGGAUUGUAAACUGCUUUAGACAGGGAAGAUAAUGACAGUACCUGUAGAAUAAGCUCCGGCUAACUACGUGCCAGCAGCCGCGGUAAUACGUAGGGAGCAAGCGUUAUCCGGAUUUAUUGGGUGUAAAGGGUGCGUAGACGGGAGAACAAGUUGGUUGUGAAAUCCCUCGGCUUAACUGAGGAACUGCAACCAAAACUAUUUUUCUUGAGUGCUGGAGAGGAAAGUGGAAUUCCUAGUGUAGCGGUGAAAUGCGUAGAUAUUAGGAGGAACACCAGUGGCGAAGGCGACUUUCUGGACAGUAACUGACGUUGAGGCACGAAAGUGUGGGGAGCAAACAGGAUUAGAUACCCUGGUAGUCCACACCGUAAACGAUGGAUACUAGGUGUAGGGGAUAUUAA
rnacentral:rRNA from 1 species